rnacentral:rRNA from 1 species
AGAGUUUGAUCCUGGCUCAGAUUGAACGCUGGCGGCAGGCCUAACACAUGCAAGUCGAACGGUAACAGGAUGUGCUUGCACAUCGCUGACGAGUGGCGGACGGGUGAGUAAUGCUUGGGAACUUGCCUUUGCGAGGGGGAUAACAGUUGGAAACGACUGCUAAUACCGCAUAAUGUCUUCAGACCAAACGGGGCUUCGGCUCCGGCGCAAAGAGAGGCCCAAGUGAGAUUAGCUAGUUGGUAAGGUAACGGCUUACCAAGGCGACGAUCUCUAGCUGUUCUGAGAGGAAGAUCAGCCACACUGGGACUGAGACACGGCCCAGACUCCUACGGGAGGCAGCAGUGGGGAAUAUUGCACAAUGGGGGAAACCCUGAUGCAGCCAUGCCGCGUGUGUGAAGAAGGCCUUCGGGUUGUAAAGCACUUUCAGUUGUGAGGAAAAGUUAGUAGUUAAUACCUGCUAGCCGUGACGUUAACAACAGAAGAAGCACCGGCUAACUCCGUGCCAGCAGCCGCGGUAAUACGGAGGGUGCGAGCGUUAAU